GCAGGGGUGUCCGAGCCAGAUGCGAGAUAAGCGGGCUAAGUCAAAGGAACGCGGCUGAGGCCCGCGUGGCGUAGGCCUGCGUGGGUUCAAAUCCCACCCCCUGCACCA
rnacentral:tRNA from 1 species